rnacentral:rRNA from 1 species
GAUCAAGCUACAAAGGGCGCACGGUGAAUGCCCUGGCACUAGGAGCCGAUGAAGGACGUGAUAAGCUGCGAUAAGCUACAUGUAGGCGCACACAGCCUGUGAUAUGUAGAUUUCCGAAUGGGGAAACCCAUCUAGUUAUGCUAGAUACUGUAUACCGAAUACAUAGGUAUAUGGAGGUACACCUGGGGAACUGAAACAUCUAAGUACCCAGAGGAAGAGAAAGAAAAUUCGAUUCCCUAAGUAGCGGCGAGCGAAAGGGGAAGAGCCCAAACCAGGAACUUGUUCCUGGGGGUGCGGAUAGAUUAUAACGCUUUGAUUUCUUUAGUUGAAGAGAACUGGAAAGUUCCGUCGUAGAAGGUAAUAACCCUGUAGGCGAAAAGGAAAGAAAAGUAGAUCUACUCCAGAGUACCACGAGACACGUGAAACCUUGUGGGAAGCUGGGAGGACCAUCUCCCAAGGCUAAAUACUACCUAGUGACCGAUAGUGAAGCAGUACCGUGAGGGAAAGGGGAAAAGAACCCCGGAAGGGGAGGGAAAUAGAAUCUGAAACCGUGUGCCUACAAUCGGUCGGAGCACAUUAAAGUGUGACGGCGUACUUUUUGUAGAACGGGCCAGCGAGUUACGAUAUAUAGCAAGGUUAAGCACUUAUGGUGUGGAGCCGAAGGGAAACCGAGUCUGAAUAGGGCAACUAGUUGUAUAUUGUAGACCCGAAACCGAGUGACCUAUCCAUGGCCAGGAUGAAGCGGAAGUAAAAUUCCGUGGAGGUCCGAACCACGUUUGUGUUGAAAAACCAUGGUAUGAGCUGUGGAUAGCGGAGAAAUUCCAAUCGAACUCGGAGAUAGCUGGUUCUCCUCGAAAUAGCUUUAGGGCUAGCGUCGGGUAAUUGAGUAGUGGGGGUAGAGCACUGAAUGGGCUAGGGGCUGACAACAGUUACUGAACCCUAUCAAACUCCGAAUGCCAUAUACUUGUACCCCGGCAGUCAGAAUACGAAUGAUAAGAUCCGUGGUCCAAAGGGAAACAGCCCAGACCAUCAGCUAAGGUCCCAAAGUGUAAGUUAAGUGGGAAAGGAUGUGGGAUUUCUAAGACAACUAGGAUGUUGGCUUAGAAGCAGCCACUCAUUUAAAGAGUGCGUAAUAGCUCACUAGUCGAGAGAUCCUGCGCCGAAGAUGUAACGGGGCUCAAACUUACCACCGAAGCUAUGGAUGUGUACUUUGUACACGUGGUAGAGGAGCUUUCUGUACAGGUUGAAGUCAUACCGUAAGGAGUGGUGGAC